rnacentral:rRNA from 1 species
AUCUGCAGUCGAGGGGCAGCGCAGGUAGCAAUACUGGGCGGCGACCGGCAAACGGGUGCGGAACACGUACGUAACCUUCCUUUAAGUGGGAGAUAGCCCGAAGAAAUUCGGAUUAAUACCCCAUAAGAUUGUGGAGUGGCAUCACUCAGCAAUUAAAGAAAUUCGCUUAAAGAUGGGCGUGCGGCUGAUUAGGUAGUUGGUGAGGUAACGGCUCACCAAGCCAACGAUCAGUAACUGGCGUGAGAGCGCGACCAGUCACACGGGCACUGAGACACGGGCCCGACUCCUACGGGAGGCAGCAGUAAGGAAUAUUGGUCAAUGGACGGAAGUCUGAACCAGCCAUGCCGCGUGAAGGAUGAAGGUCCUCUGGAUUGUAAACUUCUUUUAUAUGGGAAGAAACCACUUUUUUCUAAAGGUGUUGACGGUACCAUAGGAAUAAGCACCGGCUAACUCCGUGCCAGCAGCCGCGGUAAUACGGAGGGUGCAAGCGUUAUCCGGAUUCACUGGGUUUAAAGGGUGCGUAGGCGGAUUAGUAAGUCCGUGGUGAAAUCUCCGAGCUUAACUCGGAAACUGCCGUGGAUACUAUUAAUCUUGAAUACUGUGGAGGUUAGCGGAAUAUGUCAUGUAGCGGUGAAAUGCAUAGAUAUGACAUAGAACACCAAUUGCGAAGGCAGCUGGCUACACAGAGAUUGACGCUGAGGCACGAAAGCGUGGGGAUCAAACAGGAUUAGAUACCCUGGUAGUCCACGCCCUAAACGAUGAUUACUCGACAUUUGCGAUAUACAGUAAGUGUCUGAGCGAAAGCAUUAAGUAAUCCACCUGGGAAGUACGACCGCAAGGUUGAAACUCA